AUUGAACGCUGGCGGCAGGCCUAACACAUGCAAGUCGAGCGGAUGACGGGAGCUUGCUCCUUGAUUCAGCGGCGGACGGGUGAGUAAUGCCUAGGAAUCUGCCUGGUAGUGGGGGACAACGUUUCGAAAGGAACGCUAAUACCGCAUACGUCCUACGGGAGAAAGCAGGGGACCUUCGGGCCUUGCGCUAUCAGAUGAGCCUAGGUCGGGAUUCGCUAGUUGGUGGGGGAAUGGCUCACCAAGGCGACGGUCCGUAACUGGUCUGAGAGGAUGAUCAGUCACACUGGAAGUGAGGCACGGGCAAGACUCCUACGGGAGGCAGCAGUGGGGAAUAUUGGACAAUGGGGGAAAGCCUGAUUCAGCCAUGCCGCGUGUGUGAAGAAGGUCUUCGGGUUGUAAAGCACUUUAAGUUGGGAGGAAGGGCAGUAAGUUAAUACCUUGCUGUUUUGACGUUACCGACAGAAUAAGCACCGGCUAACUCUGUGCCAGCAGCCGCAGUAA
rnacentral:rRNA from 1 species